rnacentral:rRNA from 1 species
UACGUAGGGUGCGAGCGUUGUCCGGAAUUAUUGGGCGUAAAGGGCUCGUAGGCGGUUUGUCGCGUCGGGAGUGAAAUCCACUGGCUUAACUGUGGGCGUGCGGUCGAUACGGGCAUCACUGGAGUUCGGCAGGGGAGACUGGAAUUCCUGGUGUAGCGGUGGAAUGCGCAGAUAUCAGGAGGAACACCGGUGGCGAAGGCGGGUCUCUGGGCAGUAACUGACGCUGAGGAGCGAAAGCGUGGGGAGCGAACAGG